CUAGCACGCUGCUGAUGAUGCUAGCACGCUGCUAAUGAUGCUAGCACCGUUAGCAGAAGCCAUCUUCCUUAGCAGGAAUCGACACAGAAUCAAAACUAAAUGGAAGAUAAUAAUGGCCGUUUAAAGUCACAAUAAUUCAUCUCUAUAACAAACCGUCACUAAAUAUUUGAGGAAAUGUUUUCAUCCUGAUGCUAACCAUAAACGGCCUCAGUUUGGAGGCAACAUGGCGGCGAUGUUGUUAUUCUAUUUGAGCUUAUAAAACUGGCCAGUAUUUCCUGCUUCCUGUCUGCAGUUCGGCGUGACGCUGCUGUUUCUGAUCCUGAGUGAAGGCGAGCGCAUGCAGAGCUCCGACCCAAACUGUCAGCUCAUGGACGACAAUCGAUGGACCGAGUUGGUGUUCUCGGUGACCAGGGAGCUGCUCGGCGUCCCGUCUUCAUCGCUGGCUCCGCCCCUCUUCACGCCUCCCAACCUGCUGUCUCUGUUCUCGCGCUACGUGGAUCGACAGAGGCUGGAGCUGCUGCAGGACAAGCUACAGAUCUCUGCUUCAUCCAGGUAGAAGUUACUACAUCAUCAUCAUCGUCGUCAACAUGGCCCCGCCCGUCAAUGCAGAACUUCUGUGUGUGUGUGUCAGGGUGUGUGUGUAGAGUGUUAGGGUGUGUGUGUGUGUGUGUGUAUAGAGUGUCAGGGUG